rnacentral:rRNA from 1 species
AAACUGAAGAGUUUGAUCCUGGCUCAGAUUGAACGCUGGUGGCAUGCUUAACUCAUGCAAGUCGAACGGUAACAGGUCUUAGGAUGCUGACGAGUGGCGGACGGGUGAGUAACGCGUAGGAAUCAGCCCAUUUGAGGGGGAUACCAGUUGGAAACGACUGUUAAUACCGCAUAAUAUCUGGUGAUUAAAGGUGGCUUUCGGGCUGUCGCAGAUGGAUGAGCCUGCGUUGG